CCAGACUCCUACGGGAGGCAGCAGUGGGGAAUAUUGGGCAAUGGGCGCAAGCCUGACCCAGCAACGCCGCGUGAAGGAAGAAGGCUUUCGGGUUGUAAACUUCUUUUCUCAGGGACGAAGCAAGUGACGGUACCUGAGGAAUAAGCCACGGCUAACUACGUGCCAGCAGCCGCGGUAAUACGUAGGUGGCAAGCGUUGUCCGGAUUUACUGGGUGUAAAGGGCGUGUAGCCGGGCUGACAAGUCAGAUGUGAAAUCCGGGGGCUCAACCCCUGAACUGCAUUUGAAACUGUUGGUCUUGAGUAUCGGAGAGGCAGGCGGAAUUCCUAGUGUAGCGGUGAAAUGCGUAGAUAUUAGGAGGAACGCCGGUGGCGAAGGCGGCCUGCUGGACUGCAACUGACGUUGAGGCCCGAAAGCGUGGGGAGCAAACAGGAUUAGAUACCCCCGUAGAG
rnacentral:rRNA from 1 species